GGGAGGGCGGGAGGAAGGCGGAGAGGAAGGAAGGCGGAGUCCGCGGGGAAAACGAAACCGAGAGCGACCUGCCCAGACCCCGCCGAGCUUCCGCGGACAGCAGCGGUGCGGGUGAGCGGCGAGGGGCCGGCAGCCACCGAGGCGCGCGCAUCCCGCGUCCCCAGCCCGGGACUGGACUCUGGUUACUGUAGGAAAAAAUGGCCAGUGGUCGUUCACCAUGUUUCUAUAUAGAAGAACUUAAUAAGUACCAGCAAAAGAACAGUGCAGUACUUAAGUAUCGUGAACUGUCUAAGACAGGACCUCCACAUAACUUAAGGUUUACCUAUCAAGUUACAAUAGAUGGCAAAGAAUUUCCAAAGGCUGAAGGUAGAUCAAAGAAGGAAGCCAAAAAUGCUGCAGCCAAAUUAGCUUUUGAAAUAAUUAGUAAAGAACAGAAGGCCACUAGUCCUUCAUCACUGCAGACAGGAAGUCCUUCAGAAGGACCACCCAUUGAGAAUUACAUAGGCCGUGUUAAUACGAUUUCCCAGAAGAAAAACCUAUCUGUAAUUUAUGAAGAAUGUGAAUCGAGGGACAGUGAGCCCGAAAAAUUUCAUUAUAAAUGCAAAAUUGGAGAGAAUGAAUAUGGUAUUGGUAUAGGUUCCACUAAACAGGAGGCAAGACAAUUGGCUGCUAAACUGGCUUAUGAAAAGAUACAGUCAGAAAAUUUAAUGAAAGCUGACGCAUCCUCUGGUUGUUUCAAUACUGUGUGUGGUGAUGUCCAAAGCAACUCUUCAGCAACAAACACGUCUGCUUCUGAAUCACCAUCUGAAAAUGACUUCUCAGCAAAUGAAGCGGAAAGCAAUGAUAACAGUGACUCAUUAGACAAGUCUUUCCAAUCCCCAGGGAACAGUUCCAGAAAUAAUCCCGGAAAGGUGAAGAGAUCUUUGGCACCUAGAUUUGACUCUCCUGUGGAGAGGGAAAAAAACAUGUAUACUGUGGACUCCAGGUUUAUCAGAGAUUUUACAGAAGUAACACCGCUUGACGCAGGUGGAUUUGGCCAAGUUUUCAAAGCCAAACACAGAAUUGAUGAGAAGACUUAUGUUAUUAAAUGUGUUAAAUAUAAUAACGAGAAGGUAGAGCGUGAAGUGAAAGCUUUGGCAGUGCUUGAUCAUGCAAAUAUUGUUCACUACCACAGUUGUUGGGAUGGGCUUGACUACAAUCCUGAGCAAAGCAUAAAUUCUUCAAGAUCAAAGACUAGGUGCCUUUUCAUCCAAAUGGAAUACUGUGAUAAAGGGACAUUGGAGCAAUGGAUUGACAGUAGAAGAGGCAAGGAACAAGACAAAUGUUUGGCUUUGGUAUUCUUUGAACAAAUAACAGAAGGAGUGCAUUACAUACAUUCAAAACAGUUAAUUCAUAGAGACCUUAAGCCAAGUAAUAUAUUUUUAGUAGAUAUGAACCAAAUAAAGAUUGGAGACUUUGGACUUGUAACAUACCUGAAAAAUGAUGAAGCACGGACAAGUAAACAUGGAACUAGGCGAUACAUGAGCCCAGAACAGAUUUCUUCUGUGAAAGACUAUGGAAAUGAAGUGGACAUCUUUGCUUUGGGGCUAAUUCUUGCAGAACUUCUUCACAUAUGUUCCACUUUGUCAGAAACAGUGAAGUUUUUUGAAGAUCUAAGGGAUGGCAUCUUCUCAGAUGUAUUUGACAACAAAGAAAAAAAUCUUCUACAGAAAUUACUCUCAAAUGAUCCCAAGAAACGACCUAACACAUUGGAAAUACUGAAGACUUUGAAGGAGUGGAAUAAUAUUACAGAGAAAAAGAAACGAAAUACAUGUUAGAUAAUUAAAAAGUAUCCUUCUUCUGAUACUCCAUUUUCCUAUAACUAUCUAAAGUCUGCUUGGGAAUAUUAACGUUCAGGAGGCCUGAAGUCUGAAAUGGGUUUCACUGGGCUCAAGUCAAAGUGUUGGCAGGGCCGCGCUCCUCGGGGGGCUCCCAUUCUGCAUCCCACGUUCAGCAUUACCUGAAUAGGCCCCAGCCACACAGGUCUGCUCAGGGUCACCUCAAUAGUCUUUUGUGCUCAAUGGCUCUCGGCUACGGUUUCUACCUGAAAUUCCCUUCAAUCUUUUUUUAAAUAACAGCUUUAUUGAGACAUAAUUCACAUACCAUAAAAUUCACCCCAUUUAAAGUAUACAGUUGAAUGGUGUUUAGUAUAUUCAGAGUUGUGCAACCAUCACCACAAUCAAUUUUAAAACAUUUUUGUCACCCCAAAAAGAAACCCUGUACCCAUUAGCAGCCAUUCCUCAUCUUCCUCCAACUCUAGGCAACCACUAAUCUACUUUCUAUCUCCAUAGACUUGCCUAUUCUGGACAUUUUGUUUAAAUGGAAUCAUACAGUAUGUGGUCUUUUUCACUUAGUAUGUUUUCAUCUGUGGUAUAGCAUGGAUGGAAAUUCCUUUCCCUUUUAUUGCCAAAUGAUAUUCAAUUAUAUGGAUAUAUCACAUUUAAUUCACCUAUUCAUCAGCUGAUGGACAUUUGGGUUUCUACUUUCUGGCUAGUAUGAAUAAUGUUGCAAUGAAUAUUGGUGUUAUGAGUUUUAUCUGGACAUGUUUCCAUUUCUCUUGGGUAUAACUUAAGAGUGGAAAUGCUGGGUCAUAUUGUAACUCCUUCCUCAUAACUGCAUAUCAAAGUUAUGUUCAAAGCCCAAAUUCAGUGCUGCUACCAUAGUGUUCUACCAUCUCCCACUCGGAAUGAAACUUCUCCCUAAUACUUCAGUUAUAUAGUUCUUCAGUAUUGUACCUACCAGUUUGCUUUGGAGCUCAGUUAUUCCUGCCUGGGUGUCUCCCUCCUUGUAAAUUUCUGGAACGCAGGGACAGGCUCUCUCAUUUUGAUUUGCCCCAAGGCAGCAAGUGUAUUACCCUGCAUUUAAGCAGGAACUCUAUAAGUGCUUUUGAAUUAGUAGGGAAUAAAAGUGUUAAGAAUUUCAUAUACCUGAUCCUGCAAAAUGUGUCUAAUACUAAAUAAUAAUAAUGUUCACUGUAAGAUUUCAACAAUUAAAUGUUGAUAAAUAACACUUAAAGUAAAGGUGGGCAUGGUAAACCAAUUUAGUAUAUUAAAGUCUAUUUAUUUUGAAUUUUAAAAGCUCCAGUAUUUUGGGUUUAUAUGUAGGAAAAUGAAACAUUUUAGAAAUUCUAGAUAGGACUCUGAAAAUAAACACAGUACAAUAUAAACAAAAGUAAAUGACAACAAGUAAAUUUCUGGCCUCUGGCCUGGAAAUGCAGACCACAACUCUGGUGGACUUAUGGGUUCCAUCAAGGUUAUUCCUACAUUCACAGAAUAUUUGUUCACAGACAUAUUCAAAAUACUCUAGGCCACUGGGCAGUUUGCCCUACAGUCAGUAAGAGGAGAAAAGGAAGCCAGUUCCUAACUCCAUUCUGGCUGAAAUUAUCCACAUGGCGUUGGGUCUGUCCAAAUGAAUGUUGGUUUGUUGGCUGAAAUGACAGGAAAGGAUGUGACUAUAAUUCCAAGAAGAUAUACUUUGUUUUAUCUGUUAAUACAAUGUUACGAUUUUUUAAAUGAAAAAAGUAACAAACAGUUUUAUCCAAAUAUAUAAGCUCCAAUAUUUUA